GGCACUUGUGUGUGUGUUUUUGUCUUAACUUGUGGACUAAGACUUCAUGGACAGGUGCAAAAAAUAAAUCCUCUUUUGCAACCCAGAACUCAUUGUUCAGUAUGAGUUUUGAUACCUAUAAGAAGGAAUAUU
ensembl:snoRNA